rnacentral:rRNA from 1 species
UUACGGCCACAUCACGUCAAAACACAGAUUCUCAUACAAUCACCAAAGUUAAGCAACGUCGAGCCAGGUCAGUACCUAGAUGGGUGACCACUUGGGAAUACCAAGUGCU